rnacentral:tRNA from 1 species
UCCGAUGUGGUGUAACGGUUAGCAUCGCUCGCUUUCAAGUCCUUCUAACAAGAAGAGCUGAUCCGAGCAGAUCGGGGUUCGAUUCCCCGCAUCGGAG